GCUAAUACCUCAUAUUCUGUGAGCAGGAAAGCAGGGGAUCGCAAGACCUUGCGCUGAUUGAGCGGCCGAUAUCAGAUUAGCUUGUUGGUGAGGUAAAAGCUCACAAGGCGACGAUCUGUAGCGGGUCUGAGAGGAUGAUCCGCCACACUGGAACUGAGACACGGUCCAGACUCCUACGGGAGGCAGCAGUGGGGAAUUUUACACAAUGGGGGCAACCCUGAUCCAGCCAUGCCGCGUGAGUGAAGAAGGCCUUCGGGUUGUAAAGCUCUUUCAGCCGGGAAGAAAACGCAUGGGUUAAUACCCUGUGUGGAUGACGGUACCGGAAUAAGAAGCACCGGCUAACUACGUGCCAGCAGCCGCGGUAAUACGUAGGGUGCGAGCGUUAAUCGGAAUUACUGGGCGUAAAGCGUGCGCAGGCGGUUUUGUAAGACAGGCGUGAAAUCCCCGGGCUUAACCUGGGAACUGCGUUUGUGACUGCAAGGCUAGAGUACGGCAGAGGGGGGUGGAAUUCCACGUGUAGCAGUGAAAUGCGUAGAGAUGUGGAGGAACACCAAUGGCGAAGGCAGCCCCCUGGGUCGAUACUGACGCUCAUGCACGAAAGCGUGGGUAGCAAACAGGAUUAGAUACCCUGGUAGUCCACGCCCUAAACGAUGUCAACUAGGUGUUGGGAGGGUAAAACCUUUUAGUACCGGAGCUAACGCGUGAAGUUGACCGCCUGGGGAGUACGGCCGCAAGGUUAAAACUCAAAGGAAUUGACGGGGACCCGCACAAGCGGUGGAUGAUGUGGAUUAAUUCGAUGCAACGCGAAAAACCUUACCUACCCUUGACAUGCCAAGAACUUUCCAGAGAUGGAUUGGUGCCCGAAAGGGAACUUGGACACAGGUGCUGCAUGGCUGUCGUCAGCUCGUGUCGUGAGAUGUUGGGUUAAGUCCCGCAACGAGCGCAACCCUUGUCGUUAAUUGCCAUCAUUUAGUUGGGCACUUUAACGAGACUGCCGGUGACAAACCGGAGGAAGGUGGGGAUGACGUCAAGUCCUCAUGGCCCUUAUGGGUAGGGCUUCACACGUCAUACAAUGGUCGGUACAAAGGGUCGCCAAGCCGCGAGGUGGAGCCAAUCCCAGAAAGCCGAUCGUAGUCCGGAUCGCAGUCUGCAACUCGACUGCGUGAAGUCGGAAUCGCUAGUAAUCGUGGAUCAGAAUGUCACGGUGAAUACGUUCCCGGGUCUUGUACACACCGCCCGUCACACCAUGGGAGCGGGUUCCGCCAGAAGUAGGUAGCCUAACCGCAAGGAGGGCGCUUACCACGGCGGGGUUCGUGACUGGGGUGAAGUCGGAACAAGGUA
rnacentral:rRNA from 1 species